rnacentral:rRNA from 1 species
UACGAAGGGGGCUAGCGUUGUUCGGAAUUACUGGGCGUAAAGCGCACGUAGGCGGAUUAUUAAGUCAGGGGUGAAAUCCCGGAGCUCAACUCCGGAACUGCCUUUGAUACUGGUAAUCUAGAGACCGAGAGAGGUAAGUGGAACUCCUAGUGUAGAGGUGGAAUUCGUAGAUAUUAGGAAGAACACCAGUGGCGAAGGCG